rnacentral:rRNA from 1 species
GACGAACGCUGGUGGCGUGCUUAACACAUGCAAGUCGAACGCUGAAGCUUGGUGCUUGCACUGGGUGGAUGAGUGGCGAACGGGUGAGUAAUACGUGAGUAACCUGCCCUUGACUCUGGGAUAAGCCUGGGAAACUGGGUCUAAUACUGGAUAUGACAUGCCACUGCAUGGUGGUGUGUGGAAAGGGUUUUACUGGUUUUGGAUGGGCUCACGGCCUAUCAGCUUGUUGGUGGGGUAAUGGCCUACCAAGGCGACGACGGGUAGCCGGCCUGAGAGGGUGACCGGCCACACUGGGACGGGGAAAGGGCCAAGACUCAUACGGGAGGAAGAGGGGGGGAAAAUGGAAAAAUGGGCGGAAGCCGGAUGCAGCGACGCCGGGUGGGGAAGGACGGCCUUCGGGUGGUAAACGUCUUUCAGAACGAAAGAGGCGAGAGGAAGGGAACGGGCAGAAGAGGCGCGGGCAAAUUAGGU